AGAACGAACGCUGGCGGCAUGCCUAACACAUGCAAGUCGAGCGGGCGUAGCAAUACGUCAGCGGCAGACGGGUGAGUAACGCGUGGGAACAUACCUUUUGGUUCGGAACAACACAGGGAAACUUGUGCUAAUACCGGAUAAGCCCUUACGGGGAAAGAUUUAUCGCCGAAAGAUUGGCCCGCGUCUGAUUAGCUAGUUGGUGAGGUAACGGCUCACCAAGGCGACGAUCAGUAGCUGGUCUGAGAGGAUGAUCAGCCACAUUGGGACUGAGACACGGCCCAAACUCCUACGGGAGGCAGCAGUGGGGAAUAUUGGACAAUGGGCGCAAGCCUGAUCCAGCCAUGCCGCGUGAGUGAUGAAGGCCCUAGGGUUGUAAACCUCUUUCAGCAGGGAAGAAGCGCAAGUGACGGUACCUGCAGAAGAAGCACCGGCUAACUACGUGCCAGCAGCCGCGGUAA
rnacentral:rRNA from 1 species